GCAAGUAGAGGAUGUAGCUCAGAUGGUAGAGCCCUCGCUUAGCAUGCGAGAGGCAUGGAGAUCGAUACCUGGAUCUGCA